rnacentral:rRNA from 1 species
AGGAUGAACGCUAGCGGCAGGCCUAACACAUGCAAGUCGAGUGGUAGAACACUUCGGUGUUUGAGACCGGCGCACGGGUGCGUAACGCGUAUGCAAUCUACCUUAUACAGGGGGAAUAGCCCAGAGAAAUUUGGAUUAAUGCCCCAUGGUAUUACGAAAUCGCAUGGUUUUGUAAUUAAAGUUCCAACGGUAUAAGAUGAGCAGUGCGUCCCAUUAGUUAGUUGGUAAGGUAACGGCUUAACCAAGACGAUGAGUGGGUAGGGGUCCUGGAGAGGGAGACUCCCCCCACACGUGGUACUGAGACACCGGACCAGACUCCGUACGGGAGGCAGCAGUGAGAAUAGUGGUCAAGUGGCGACAACGCCUAGAACCAGACCAGUCGCCG